CGUGUAGGCGGGAAUACAAGUCAGAUGUGAAGUACUGUGGCUCAACCACAGAACGGCAUCUGAAACUGUAUUUCUUGAGUACUGGAGAGGAAAGCGGAAUUCCUAGUGUAGCGGUGAAAUGCGUAGAUAUUAGGAGGAACACCGGUGGCGAAGGCGGCUUUCUGGACAGUAACUGACGCUGAGACGCGAAAGCGUGGGGAGCAAACAGGAUUAGAUACCCUGGUAGUCC
rnacentral:rRNA from 1 species